UACGGGGGGGGCAAGCGUUGUUCGGAGUUACUGGGCGUAAAGGGCUCGUAGGCGGCCAACUAAGUCAGACGUGAAAUCCCCAGGCUCAACCUGGGAACUGCGUCUGAUACUGGAUGGCUUGAAUCCGGGAGAGGGAUGCAGAAUUCCAGGUGUAGCGGUGAAAUGCGUAGAUAUCUGGAGGAACACCGGUGGCGAAGGCGGUUCUCUGGGCAUUACCUGACGCUGAGGAGCGAAAGCAUGGGGAGCGAACAGG
rnacentral:rRNA from 1 species